UGGCAAACCAGAGCUCUACGGAAA
rnacentral:misc_RNA from 1 species